UCGAACGAAGCAUAUAAAAGGAAUUCCUUCGGAGAGGAAUUUUAUCUUACUGAGUGGCGGACGGGUGAGUAACGCGUGGGCAACCUACCCCACACAGGGGGACAACAGUUGGAAACGACUGCUAAUACCGCAUAGGCGCACAGCUUCGCAUGAAGCAGUGUGGAAAACCGAGGUGGUGUGGGAUGGGCCCGCGUCUGAUUAGCUGGUUGGCGGGGUAACGGCCCACCAAGGCGACGAUCAGUAGCCGGCCUGAGAGGGUGGACGGCCACAUUGGGACUGAGACAAGGCCCAAACUCAUACGGGAGGCAGCAGUGGGGAAUAUUGCACAAUGGGGGAAACCCUGAUGCAGCGACGCCGCGUGAGCGAAGAAGUAUUUCGGUAUGUAAAGCUCUAUCAGCAGGGAAGAAAAUGACGGUACCUGACUAAGAAGCCCCGGCUAAAUACGUGCCAGCAGCCGCGGUAAUACGUAUGGGGCAAGCGUUAUCCGGAUUUACUGGGUGUAAAGGGAGCGCAGGCGGCUUGGCAAGUCUGAUGUGAAAGGCUGGGGCUCAACCCCAGGACUGCAUUGGAAACUGUUAGGCUGGAGUGUCGGAGAGGUAAGCGGAAUUCCUAGUGUAGCGGUGAAAUGCGUAGAUAUUAGGAGGAACACCAGUGGCGAAGGCGGCUUACUGGACGACAACUGACGCUGAGGCUCGAAAGCGUGGGGAGCAAACAGGAUUAGAUACCCUGGUAG
rnacentral:rRNA from 1 species